GCAAGAGGAAAAUUAAUCUUUUGAUUUUUAUGUAUACUCAUAAGGACAUCAGGAUCAUGUCAAUGUGUAUUAGUUGGACCACAAAAAAAUUAUUAUCCAAAUAGUUUGCGGUCAUAUUGGGUAUUAAACAGUGAAUUAGAAAAAGUAACUGAUGAAGUGUCAUAAUUCUAUGUAGUAAUGGAAAUAACAAUAACUAGUUGAUUUGAUGACAAGUAAAAUCUGGUUUUCAGAACUUACACAUACAGAAUCUAGACAGUUAUCUAAGUUAAAUAUACACCAGUAUAUUUAAACAUUUUAACAGAUUUCCACACCACCUUAGCAUUGUAUUCAACAAAACUGGAGGUACUGCAUUUUGGCGCGUUUUUUUAUAGUGGUUUCCCAACAUAGGCCUACUCCACUCUUUAUCUUUGUUUCUAAAUUGGCAUAUACAUAUUACUAAUAUUUUAUGCAUUAACCUUUUUAAUUUAUUCAUUAAUACUUACCUUUUAUUUUAUUUUAUUUUUUGUAUUAGAUAUGCACAAA
rnacentral:lncRNA from 1 species